rnacentral:rRNA from 1 species
AUGAACGCUGGCGGCGUGCCUAAUACAUGCCAGUCGAGCGAACGGACGAGAAGCUUGCUUCUCUGAUGUUAGCGGCGGACGGGUGAGUAACACGUGGAUAACCUACCUAUAAGACUGGGAUAACUUCGGGAAACCGGAGCUAAUACCGGAUAAUAUUUUGAACCGCAUGGUUCAAAAGUGAAAGACGGUCUUGCUGUCACUUAUAGAUGGAUCAGCGCUGCAUUAGCUAGUUGGUAAGGUAACGGCUUACCAAGGCAACGAUGCAUAGCCGACCUGAGAGGGUGAUCGGCCACACUGGAACUGAGACACGGUCCAGACUCCUACGGGAGGCAGCAGUAGGGAAUCUUCCGCAAUGGGCGAAAGCCUGACGGAGCAACGCCGCGUGAGUGAUGAAGGUCUUCGGAUCGUAAAACUCUGUUAUUAGGGAAGAACAUAUGUGUAAGUAACUGUGCACAUCUUGACGGUACCUAAUCAGAAAGCCACGGCUAACUACGUG